AUUCAACUUUGUAUCACCUGAGCUUAACUAACACCUGGCACAGAGAAGAAACAUAUUAAGGAUUUGCUGAGAGAAUAAGAUAGUAUAACUUGGUCUUAUAUCUAAGGUUUGAUUUUCUAGGAACCUAUAGUGAAUUUUAGGCUUGCUUUUCAGUUUUUGUAGCAGGGAUGUAGCACAGGUUUGGGACUCAGCACACCUAGUCUGAAAGCUGAUUUCUGUCACAGCAUGCAUGAGGGACAGUCUCUUCAGUUUAUUUAUACCUUAGUGCUGUGAUUCUCGAGCUUAUAGACACUGUGAGGACAGAAUUUUAGCUCUUUAAACAAAGGGGGGCAAAUAUACAGUGACCUCUAUCUAUGUAGGUAUUUAACUGAAAGGAAUUCCAGGGCCAAGUGUGUCUACUAUUAAAAGAAACGUACUUUUCUUACAAUGUAGUCCCUGAAUGCAAAUCAUGGUUUUAUCUGGUGGGCAACUGAAGAAACAGCAAUCUGAACUGAUAUGGGAGGCAGACCUCACUGUAACAGGAUUAGUGAGAAACAGUGUUUGUGGCUCUUAAUUGCUCAUUUUUUUUUUUUUAAUGGGGGAUGUUAGGGAUUUUCUAAGGGCAGGUUUAUCCAUAUGCAGAGUUGAUGUUAGGAUGUAAUACCACAAAGAUGUAAUUAACUCCUCUGUUUGUGGUCUCCAUGUUAAUUCACUCUCAUAAGAGGGUAUGCAGUGUGGUCACUAUUCUACCACCAUUUUUAAGAAAAAAUUUAAAACUAUUUUUUAUCUUCCAAAUUAAAUAUUUUGCUAUUUGAUAAGUUAACAAUGCAACAGAAAAUCAAUAUAACUUUUAUCUUUACCAGAAGCCAUAAAAGUCUAUCUAGGAAAAUUUCAGAUGUGUGAACAUGGCUUUAGAGAAGGAACUCAACUACAGACUAUAAGAAAUGUAAAACCAAGCCAGGUUCCUGUUGUGGUCCUUUAUUAUGACCUGGUGACCUAAGCUAGAGAAUCACAGCACUAAGGUAUAAGUAAACCAAAUAGCAUGCAUUGGCUUUAGUUCAGAAGGGGAUUUUUGUGCAGAAAAUAAAUUGAAAGUAGGGCCUCUGGCCAGCAUAAACAGAUAAGAAAAAAGUAUGAUUCCCUACGUCUCAAAAAUGACUCCUUCACACAUCCCACCAAUCAAAGAUCCAUUUGGAAUAACAGGUCUUCUAAAAGCUGCCAUAGAAGUUAAGCCUCCUACCACCUAUACUUCUGUGUGAAUUGAUUUAGUCUGGAGGCAUUUUGAUUGCUUUUCUCCUAACACCUAACUUAGAAGGUGAAAUAGAGGUCUUGUUUGGAGGGAAUUGAAGAAGGAAAAGGAAAGGGCAAUUUCAGAUCAAGGGAUAUGUUGGAAUGGUGGAAAAGUAGGAUCAUUAGGACAGCUGGGAACAGUCUUUUAGUUCUUGGAAGCCAGGAAAAAGAUGUAGAGAGAAGGGCAGAAGUGGUCAAGGCUCCAUGAAAAGGAGGAUGUAGCAGUCAAAUUGGAUGUCGACCAUGCAACAAUGACGUCAGGAACCCUGCUUGGUAUACCAUCUGUACCUGUCUGUACAGAGUUUCACUCUUGUUGCCCAGGCUGGAGUACAAUGGCAUGAUCUCGGCUCACUGAAACCUCUGCCUCCUGGGUUCAUUCAAGCGAUUCUCCUGCCUCAGCCUCCUGAGUAGCUGGGAUUACAGCCUCCUCUACAUACCUCCACCUUCUAACUCCAAGAAGUCAAAAUGAAGUCUCACCAUAUUGAUCAGACUGGUCUUGAAGUCCUGGCUUCAAAUGAUCUUCCCUCCUCAGCCUCCCAAACUGCUGGGAUUAUAGAUCUUGCAGACAACAGAUCAUGGAACUUCUUGGCCUCCAUAAUCUCAUGAGCCAAUUUCUGUAAGUCUCUCUGUCUCUCUGGAGAACCUUGGCUAAUAUACACACACACCAUGAUUGAUAGUGGAUGCCCAAUAAAUGCAUUCCAAAAUAUAUGGAUGCCCAAUAAAUAUGUGUAAGUAUGAAUACUCAAUAAAUAAACAAAAAUGAAAGAACGGAAAAAAAAAAAAAAAA
rnacentral:lncRNA from 1 species